rnacentral:rRNA from 1 species
GACGAACGCUGGCGGCGUGCUUAACACAUGCAAGUCGAACGGAAAGGCCCUGCUUUUGUGGGGUGCUCGAGUGGCGAACGGGUGAGUAACACGUGAGUAACCUGCCCUUGACUUUGGGAUAACUUCAGGAAACUGGGGCUAAUACCGGAUAGGAGCUCCUGCUGCAUGGUGGGGGUUGGAAAGUUUCGGCGGUUGGGGAUGGACUCGCGGCUUAUCAGCUUGUUGGUGGGGUAGUGGCUUACCAAGGCUUUGACGGGUAGCCGGCCUGAGGGGGUGACCGGCCACAUUGGGACUGAGAUACGGCCCAGACUCCUACGGGAGGCAGCAGUGGGGAAUAUUGCACAAUGGGCGGAAGCCUGAUGCAGCAACGCCGCGUGCGGGAUGACGGCCUUCGGGUUGUAAACCGCUUUCGCCUGUGACGAAGCGUGAGUGACGGUAAUGGGUAAAGAAGCACCGGCUAACUACGUGC